GCCUCUAUAGCUCGAUUGGCAGAGCAACUGACUCUUAAUCAGUAGGUUCUAGGUUCGAUUCCUAGUGGAGGCA
rnacentral:tRNA from 1 species